rnacentral:lncRNA from 10 species
CCGGUUCUGAGGUUUACAGCAAACUUCUCAGAGCACAUGGGCAAUUUUCCCCAAGCCCUUGAAAUGAAAGACAAAGAAAGCAGAGUGACAGGGCAUCUGUGGAGAAAGGGCUUGCUGGGCAGGCCAGGCCAAUUAGCUGCUUUCCACCCCUGAGCUCUCUGUGGUGGUCUUCCAGUGUUUGGUGGGGAGGGGAGGGGAGCCAUGGGGCCUGGCGUGCCUGACACCCAAUUAGUGCUCAUUCACCAACUGACCAGCCCAGCUGGCUGGCCUGCUCCCUUCCAGCUGCUCAGCAGCCGGCUCCAACAGCUCUAAGAACAGGGGGUGCUAAUUGGAUGCUGAAACCCAGCCGCUUCUCCAUCCGCCCAGCCCAGCCUUGUGAAGGCCGCGGCUUUCUUGGCCAAGCUCCUGCCCCUGGUUCCGCUGUCAACUCAUCCUCCCUGGGAAAAUGCCGCUCCUCUCAAGUAGAAAUGUAACAGCCAGCGCUGCAGCUUCCACCAGAAUUCUUGAAGAGCCCAAGUCAAGGCAGAAGCAAGGACUGUAAUCCUGUAAAAGAAGGAAAAUCCAGGUACUGCCUUGAAGGAGAGGCAAAUUUUCAUGGGGAGAAGUGAAGUGGAGUAUGCAAAGAGAAGGAGAUCCAGGCAGAGGACACAGCAUGGGCAAAGGACUGGAGAUGUGCAUAUUCGUGAAGUGCUUGGGAAGUGGCAGUGCUUAUUCUAUCCCAAGGAAAUCAGGGCUCUGUUAAUAAGGAAGAAGAGAAUGAGAAGACAACUAACAAUCUUUGCUACAAUUGCUAAGCAAAAGGCACUUGAACACCUUCCACAGAAGAGGCAGACAUGAAAGAAAUGAAAGGUUCAAAAAUGGAAAAAUCACGGCAUAAAAGGUUGAGAGGAGAACAAUGCAACUG